GGGGCUGAUUUUGGUUUUGACAGCAGGUUGAACUGGUAAGUAAGCAUGUCGGGCAUCGCACGUUAACCCGUUAAACUAUUGUGCAAAAUUUUAGUUGGCGAAUCAAACUUUGCGCUUGCUGCUUAAUCGAAGUAUAGUAGAUUAGCACCUUCCCGAUAUUAGAUAUCGGGACAAGCUGUUCCGCCAAAACCUUUCUCUGCGGUUUUGGAGUCCGGGGCACACGUGAGUUGGAGAUAGCAAUGCAAACUCCCUUAAUGCCUUGCGAAAUUAAAGGGGAUAAGCCAAAGCUCGGUUGUCUGUUGCCAGGUCCGGUCGAAAAUUAAGUUCAGAAUAAACAUGUAGAAAGCUUAUGGGUUGCUUGUUUGGACCCGGGUUCGACUCCCGGCAGCUCCACCC
rnacentral:tmRNA from 1 species